UAUCCUCAUGGGCAUUUGCUAGACACUGUAUUCCCUCAGGUGACAUCGACUACUUGGCAAGGUAUUAUGCAUGGUCUUGAGCUGCUGAAAAAGGGGGUCAUUUGGAGAGUUCGCGACGGUGCAAAUAUAAAUAUUUGGAGAGACAAUCGGCUUCCUAGAGAUUCGGGGCUUCAAAUUUCAGCAAAAAGGAACAGAACCAGACUCAAAUGUGUGUCUGAAUUAUUCAUUAGUGGCUCAACAAGAUGGGAUGAGAAUCUUAUUCGGCAUCUGUUCUUUCCACAUGAUGCGGACGAAAUUUUGAAGUUGCGUGUUCUGACUGUCGGUGAUGGAGAUUUCAUUGCUUGGCACUACGAAAAAAAUGGUUUAUUCUCAGUUAAAAGUGCGUAUAAGUUGGCGCUCAAACUUAAGGACUCUAUGAUUGAGUUAGGGAGUUCAAGUGGUGCUGCUAAUGGGGAAAGGAGGCUAUGGAAUAUUAUUUGGGAGGCUCAGGUCCCUCAGAAAAUCAGAAUUUUUGCAUGGCGUGCUGCGACACAAAGUUUGGCGGUUCAAGUUAACAGAGUUAAACACCACCAAACUACCAUUGGUCUGUGCUCGAUUUGUGGCGUAGAAGAUGAAUCUGUAUUUCAUGCACUGGUAAGCUGUCCUAAGGCUCGUGCGUUACGUCUGGCGGUAAGGGAGGUAUGGAAUUUACCAGAUGAAGUGGUUUUCAAUUUUACGGGGCCGGAUUGGUUACUUGUCUUAUUGGAUCAAGUAAGGCCGCCGGUGCGUGAGCAAAUUAUAUUCAUGUUUUGGAGGGCUUGGCAUCUGAGGAAUGAUUUGAUUUUUGGUAAGGGAAAGGAAAAAAUCUCUGACUCGGUGAGGUUCAUUCAGAAUUACUGGACGUCCUUCUCGUCCUGUCAUCCCAAUGUCAAGAUGGAGAUUAGCAUCAAAGGUAAAGAGAGGGUGGAUGGCUUAAAUUUUACUAAUGAUAUGCGAAAGAAUCUUGUGACUUGGCAGGCUCCCGCUACGGAGAUCAUUAAGAUUAAUGUUGAUGCAAGUUAUGUGGAGGCUUUAAGGGCUGCAAGUGUGGGCGUCGUGGCCAGGAACCAUACUGGAGAAGUUAUCAUAUCGUCCUGGGAUUAUAUUGGGGUGUGC
rnacentral:rRNA from 1 species